rnacentral:rRNA from 1 species
AGAGUUUGAUCCUGGCUCAGGACGAACGCUGGCGGCGUGCUUAACACAUGCAAGUCGAGCGGACACCAUCUGGUGGCAACACCAGUGAAGUGUUAGCGGCGAACGGGUGAGUAACACGUGAGCAACCUGCCCCCAAGUCUGGGAUAACCCCGGGAAACCGGAGCUAAUACCGGAUGCCCUCUUCGGAUCGCAUGGUCUGACGAGGAAAGUUUUUCGCUUGGGGAGGGACUCGCGGCCUAUCAGCUUGUUGGUGGGGUAAUGGCCUACCAAGGCUUCGACGGGUAGCUGGUCUGAGAGGACGACCAGCCACACUGGGACUGAGACACGGCCCAGACUCCUACGGGAGGCAGCAGUGGGGAAUCUUGCGCAAUGGGCGAAAGCCUGACGCAGCAACGCCGCGUGGGGGAUGAAGGCUCUCGGGUCGUAAACCCCUUUCAG